UCAAUCUCGUGCGGCUAUAUAUACCGCCGGUCCCUCUAAGAAGAUUUUCAUUGUACGCCGGUAGUGAAGACCGCGACACGCCAGCCACCGCGACGCGAGAACGCCGCGGGAGGCCGACGCGCGCGGGCCCUCGUGAUACCGGUUGCACGUCUAUUUAAUAGGCUAGAGUUACGUUCGUUAC
rnacentral:rRNA from 1 species